CCUACGGGUGACAGCAGUAGGGAAUCUUCCACAAUGGGCGAAAGCCUGAUGGAGCAACGCCGCGUGGGUGAAGAAGGUCUUCGGAUCGUAAAACCCUGUUGUUAGAGAAGAAAGUGCGUGAGAGUAACUGUUCACGUUUCGACGGUAUCUAACCAGAAAGCCACGGCUAACUACGUGCCAGCAGCCGCGGUAAUACGUAGGUGGCAAGCGUUAACCGGAUUUAUUUGGCGUAAAGGGAACGCAGGCGGUCUUUUAAGUCUGAUGUGAAAGCCUUCGGCUUAACCGGAGUAGUGCAUUGGAAACUGGGAGACUUGAGUGCAGAAGAGGAGAGUGGAACUCCAGGUGUAGCGGUGAAAUGCGUAGAUAUAUGGAAGAACACCAGUGGCGAAAGCGGCUCUCUGGUCUGUAACUGACGCUGAGGUUCGAAAGCGUGGGUAGCAAACAGGAUUAGAUACCUCAGUAGUC
rnacentral:rRNA from 1 species